rnacentral:sRNA from 1 species
GGAGCAUGAAGAUUUUACAGCAUUUGAGCAAUGGUUAUUAAAUAAAAUUAAAAAUG